rnacentral:misc_RNA from 1 species
CGCACACGGUACCGCUUGCGCGUACAUCUGCCGCCUCUUUUUCAGUCGUUUUUUUUUUUCUGGGUUUUGGUUGCCGCGGUGCUUGGCUCGCAGGAGGGGAAUACGCCGUGAGCACCCCUUCCCCUCGGGUCGGAGCCUUCGGACCCUCCAUGACUCAUCCGUAGCUGCGUCAUCGCCUCUUCCAUAUUGGGGAGCCACUCGACAUCCUGCUGGUUUCACUCACAGCACUUGCUCCCUUCCGCUGCACCCCCGCCACCUCCGAUUCCGAUCAACGCAUAUCGAUUCUCCUCUUGCCCCCCCCACCUCCCGCCUCUCUCAAGAUGUUCUAUACGUACGCAGAGAAGCAGGGCAGCGUCUUCUUCGACAGCUGGCAGAUGCGGCAAAUCGCCUUUGACACGCUGCGCCGUCACCUGUACUACUCCGACUGCGUCAGCCCAGAAAAGAUCGCCUACCCCAAUGCCAACGAUAACCCGUUUCCCACUAUCGGCGCUUCGGAUGACUCCUUCGAGGAUGGGGAGGACUUCGACCCCGGUCUUGGCACCACUGUCGAGAACCCUGCGGUUUCUCAGCUGAUCCUGCGUCCACCGGUGUCCCCAGUGAACCAGCGGCGUCACUUCAAUGAGGCGCCGCCGCCACCCAACAAUCCGGAUGAUGUGCAGUGGCGAAAGAAGAUCAAGGUGGACAUGAUCGUGGCAGUUGGCAAGGAACAUGUGUUUCUGCUGGAGGACACACACCUCAAGGAGACAGACCUGUUUCAGAUCGAAAUCCACGGAGAGGUACGGCCAAUGGCAUCUGGCGAGACACCCGCCCCCGGUCCUCUGCUGUGCCCGUCCGCCGGGCUGUCCGGAAUGCCGAAUCGAUGCACCGUGGAGAAUGACGAGUUCAUUCGUGACCCGUUCUUCUUACGUGAGCUCUAUGAGGCGCUACGGUACCAGUUCUCGAAUCUGCGGAUGGAGAGAGAGCGUGCGGAGCUGGCCGCUGGCCAGCCGGUGGUGUCGGCGAAUGCGCGCAAGACGCAGACGCUGGAGUCGCCGCGGCCAAAGGGUGGUUCCGUGUACCGCGGCAGUCGCAUCAAGAUAGUCCUGCGCAUGCGCACAGACUACGAGUUCCGCCGUUUUGUCUACGUCGUGCAAACCGUGCUCGGGUACGAUAAGCUGAGUGCUCGACCGUAUCGCGGUCUCCCGCCCUACGACCCGCGGAACGGCCUCAUCUUUUCCGUGAUCCCGAUGUGCGUCUGGCAUACCUUUAAGUUACUCGACAAGACGGUGUUCUACACCUUCCUGCGCGGCGACUUGGUCGGCCGCAGCGCCGGCAAUCAGCUGUAUGUGACACUGCGCGGCGCCUAUCUCUGUAUCACCCACGACAGCGUCCUUGUGAUGCGCGACACCGGCAACAUCCCGCGGUGGAUCAAGCUGCAGGAGGUGCGCGAGUUUUAUUACAACGUGACGGGCAGCCGCCCGUUUGUUGCCUUCCUCUCCGAUCCCGGAUCCCCCGACAUCAUCUUUCUACCGCAGCCGCCCGUCUUCGGCCCCGAGGCGAUACGCCGCUUCAGCCCGUCGCUGGAGGUACUGCGGAUGCGCCACGUCAUUCACGAGACGUGCUUUGCCUCGCUCGAGAUUCGGCGAGUCAUCAACAUUAAGAUUGCCGACAUGUCCGUGCGCAGCUUCGUGGAGUGCUACGAGCGGGAGACGCGGCGCGUUCUCGACCUAGACGCCGCGCGGUGCUACGCCGGGGUUCUAAGCUGUCCGCUGCCGAAGGAGCAGCUUGCGCAGGUGUGGCGGGAAGUCCAGGGCAUCUACGCCGCGCGCGACCCCAGUGUCAUUAGUCACGCGGCCAUUCCGCUCUAUCAGAACAACACGAACGACACCGCGCUCACACGCGAUCAGCUUGAGACCUUGUCUAGGCGCCUCGCUCGCGAGAGAGCGAGCAGGGACGACAUUGUGGGGAUGCCGUACGAGGAGGCGCAACGCAUCCAAGCACCAGCGCGACGGGACAGUCGUCUUCACAGCCGUCACCACCUGACGCCAUUGCAGUUGCAUGAAACCACUGCCACGCAGCCCGCCAGUGAUGCCACAUCGGUUCACUUGGACCCUCAAUCAAGCCAUUCUUCGGCCAGUCCCGGCCGCGGCGAGACUCUAGCAGCGACGUCAAGCCACCCACGCGGCAUCCAGAUGACGACCGUAGCGAACCUGGAGCACGCCCAUGACCAACGCAGCGCGGGCCAUGAUAGCGCGUACGACGGAUCAGCCGGGUCGCAGCUCGAAGGUUCUGCAGUAUCCGCCACGUCAUCACCCCGGCGGCCGAUAUUGCUUAGCGCGGCACCUCCCAAUGCAUCUUCGUGGACGGCGGCGGACGCCUCCGCAGGCGGGAAUACGCACCGUCUCUCUGACGUGAGUGCACCCAACCUCUCAGGCGACGCCGCGAUGUCAAGCGGCGUAGACAACGCGUUCACCCAAACGAACCCACGCCUUACACAACUACCGAACCACCGCUUGGGGACACCGCAACUAUCCUCCAGCGUCGGCGGGGGCGCCGCCGGCUUCGGCGCGUCACCGGGGUUUGUAAAUGCUAGCUUCGCGAGCAGCCAGUUUGGCGGCAACAGUGUGCAGUACCAGAUUCCAGGAGCGCGCUACCUGAGCGAGGAUGAGAUAAAGGGUGGCAGCUCCUGUGUUGCGGUGGAUCAUCACACAGUGUUGAUGGGCGAGACCCCGCUCGUCGCCGAGGGCACCGUUACUGCCUUGCUCUCCAGUACGGAGCUGAACGUGUCAGAGAUUGUCAACAAGAGCAUCACGGCGAUGCAGGCGACGGCGCCGCCGCCCCCCAAGCGGUCCAACUCUGCCGAGCCGUCGAAGGACACCCGCAAAGGGAGUGAGGGCAAAGCCGCUUCUGCGGCCCUCGCCUCCCCACGGACACGAGCCGGCAGGCCCACCUCAGAGAGCAUCAAAAACGACGACUCCUCCGUCGAAACGUAAAGAAAGGGGAGGAGCCUGUCCGCCGCGGGCAUACAUGCGGGCGUUGGGUCGUGCAGGAUUCGAAACGUAGGCAAGCGCCGCGGCUGCGAGCGUCUAUACCUGUGAAGUAUGAGCCAGCGCUUGAUAUCGACGGCCGUUAGCUUGCUGAAUGCGUUUUCUUUUCCAACUUUCUCGUAACAAACUUCUUCCAGCGGAAUUUUCGCUUUUUUCUCGUUCUCGGCGCCUCAUCCUCACAUGCCGACGAAUCGGUGCUGUCCUCAUCAAGUGUUGUGCUCGGACAUAACACCUAUAUAUUUAUAUGUAUAACUGAGAUGUAGGGUGAGGGCCGGUGUGCGGCUGUUCUGUGUAUUGUCUCUCUCUCUCUCCGUCUCUGUGUGUGCAUGUCUCUUUUUCGUUUCUUCCGGAUUCCUUGCUUCGCCUCUGCUGUGCCUUGUAAUGUGUACUGUUGUAGGUGAUCCGCCACUGGCGAGGAAGGGUGCAGUGAACGCACCGGUGCUUAGGCGUCGCGUUAAUCUCUUUGACCGGUGGCGUGGCUGACACCUGCUCUUGCCUCCCUCUGUACUGUUUGUGGAUGUGCGGACGUGCUGUCAUUGCUUGCGUUUUAGUACGCUAAUCCUCUCUUUCUUCUGUGUGUGUGCGUGUGUGUGCGUGCUCUCUUCGAUGUACGUGCUUCGCGGUUUUGGCGGGAGGUCGCUGUGCUCACUUCUCGCAUGUGCGUUACGCCCCUCUAUAGAGUCUCUCUUCUUAUGAAGGGAGAGAGGCGAUACGUGCUUCGGCUGUGCCGAUUAGAGCGGGAGGCGCUGCGGCGAAGAGGGAAGGAAAUGCAAGUCACGAAUCACUUUGGGUGCACAUGCGUUCGUGGAACAGCAUGCACUUGCUUCGGCUCCGCCUCCUCUGCGUGACGGCAGCGACGGGGAGGGGGCUCCCUCUCUACAGCAUUUCUCUUGAUCGGCGCGGAAUCACUUGCUAUUGUUUUUGUCUUGUGCCGCUGCCCAUUUUCCCUGCUGUGCUGCACAACGUGCGUAUGCCAUGGCUUGGUGGUGAUCGUAUUUCGUGUCGCUUACCGCCCCUCCCACCACCACCCCACCCACUUUCUGUUGUCCAUUGCUGUUUCUCACUACCGGAGCUGCUGUGCUCUUUUCUUCGUUUUGUGUGUGACUCUCUCUGUUCCGCCGUGUUGCCGGGUCACCCGCCUCUUCACCCUCUCCUCCCCUCCCUCCCUCCACCCUCCCUUUUCUCUGUUGUCCGCUCGCGUUUCCCUCAGUGGUUACCCCCUCACCUCCUACCCCCACGCCGUUUGCGUGGCUGGCCUUUAGCCGAGGAUCCACUUCGGCCCGUCUUUCUGAGCGUGUUCAGCGUCUGCGCAACAGCGCCAUGCUGCC